UGAGCACUGGCCGAUGCCCUUCCUGUCUCUGGCCUCUCUUGAUUUUCUGGUUUUCCUGCUGCUCCCUUCCUUGGCUUCCCCACAGCCUUCCCGGCUCCUCUACCUCCCAACGCCCUUACAUUUUGCCUUCCGUGUCAAUUCUGCUUUUUUGCCUUUUUUUUUUUUCCUCCACUGUUGGGGAUCCUAUACUGAGAAUUUUGGUUUCUUAAAAAAUCCAGAAGGGAUACACACAAGGGCCAGGGGUGCUCAGAAGAGAGGCUGCUGCUCCCGCUGCUGUUCCUGCAGCUGGCUGUGGCAGUUUGUCCAGUAGUUGUGCCCAGAGACAAGAAGAAACUGAAUCACUUGAUGGCGAAGGUCAAACUUGCCCCAAGGAACCUGAAGCCCCUGAUCCGCAGGAAGCAGUCUAAAGAAGUCUGCACCCCCUUUCCUUUCCAAACUUCUUUCUUGCCUGCCUAGGGUUGGGGGGGUUGGAAGGGACUGGGGUGGAGAAGGGUGUAGAUAUAGGAGCCUGAAAAAGGAGCCAACAGAACUGCCUUCAGGACCCAGUCCGGAUCCUUGGCCUGCGAGGAAGCUUCCGGUCCACCCCUCAGGCCGGCUGGGUGCUCUCAUCUGUUCACGGCACAUGGGUUGAUCUUGGGAUCUUUAGUCAUAAUCUCCCCCAGAAUGUCCCAGGAGCACCCCCGGUCCCAGCAUGAGCUGUCUUUCCCCUUCACCCUUCCUAGCCACCAGUGUUCCCCGCCCUCACGUGUGCGGAUCCCAGCAGGUGGCGCCCUGCUAUCCAGCCUCCCUUCUCUGUCGUCAGGCCUCUCCAGGGCUGGUCACGCUCUGUCAUUCCCACCACCUCUUCGGCCCAAGGCUCUUCUUGUUGGUCUUUGCUUGUUUUCUGGUCUUAUACAGUCUCCAGUAUCCCUGGCUGGCCUUGCCAUGUGGAAGAGGGUGGCCUUGAACUUCUGGUCCUCCUGCCUGCUCUCCUGGCACUUCUCUCAAGGGCUAGGUUUAUAGCUAUGUACCACCGGGCAUGGUUUUACUGGUGCUGGGGAACUAGAUCUUUGCACACGCUAAGCAAACAUUGUACCAAUUGCUCUUCAUCUCCAGGGUCUCCGCUCCAGAACAGGAACGUCGUUCUAAGGUUCCCGCAGUAAUUGCCGAGUGCCUGGGAUGGCCUAGGCAACCUGCCAGCGCACUGUUAUAAACAAGAUGGUCUCCUCUGGGCCAGGGGGAAGGCUCAGCAGGUGCUUUGUCUACUUGUGCUCUGCCCAGGGCCUCUGCACAUGCUGUGGUGGCUGUCCUUUCCCUGGCGUCCUCAUGUCACUGCUUAAGAGGUCGGUUCCUCCUGGAAGUCCGGCCGGGUCACCCAGCGCUUGUCUUGCUGCCUCGUUCGUGUCCCAGACAGUGCAGCGCUUUCCUUCUCACGCCAGGCACAAUCAUUCCGGCCCUGGCUAUAGUAACACGUCCAUCUUACGUCACAGUGCAUGGAUAUGCAUAUGUGUGAGCAUAUGCUGAUGAGCCAGAGCAAGAUUCCCAGCACUGCACACACUGCACACACUGCACACCAUACACACUGCACACACUGCACACCAUACACACUGCACACACUGCACACCAUACACACUGCACACA